CGACAAUUUGAGAUGUAAAACUAAAGCACAUUGCAUAUACUUAAUAAUUUAAAUUAAUUUGUAAAUAAAAUACCAGUACCUUUACAAUUAAAUUUCUAUACCUUUAAUUUUGAAAAACUGCCAAAGCUGUUUUAGAAACUAAUGACAUCAGUUUAACAGAGUCAUUUCUUCUUUAUAAGUAAUUGGGAUUCGAACAUUCCAAAGCUACUUUAAUGUCAGUGGAAAUGCUUUUCUUAAGAAUGCUGAUGAUGAUAAUUAUGGGUUUUAUAUUAACUAUGGGUUUUCUAUUGGUUUAUUUUCGUAG
rnacentral:misc_RNA from 1 species